rnacentral:rRNA from 2 species
AGUUUGAUCCUGGCUCAGGACGAACGCUGGCGGCGUGCUUAACACAUGCAAGUCGAACGGAAAGGCCCUGCUUUUGUGGGGUGCUCGAGUGGCGAACGGGUGAGUAACACGUGAGUAACCUGCCCUUGACUUUGGGAUAACUUCAGGAAACUGGGGCUAAUACCGGAUAGGAGCUCCUGCUGCAUGGUGGGGGUUGGAAAGUUUCGGCGGUUGGGGAUGGACUCGCGGCUUAUCAGCUUGUUGGUGGGGUAGUGGCUUACCAAGGCUUUGACGGGUAGCCGGCCUGAGAGGGUGACCGGCCACAUUGGGACUGAGAUACGGCCCAGACUCCUACGGGAGGCAGCAGUGGGGAAUAUUGCACAAUGGGCGGAAGCCUGAUGCAGCAACGCCGCGUGCGGGAUGACGGCCUUCGGGUUGUAAACCGCUUUCGCCUGUGACGAAGCGUGAGUGACGGUAAUGGGUAAAGAAGCACCGGCUAACUACGUGCCAGCAGCCGCGGUGAUACGUAGGGUGCGAGCGUUGUCCGGAUUUAUUGGGCGUAAAGGGCUCGUAGGUGGUUGAUCGCGUCGGAAGUGUAAUCUUGGGGCUUAACCCUGAGCGUGCUUUCGAUACGGGUUGACUUGAGGAAGGUAGGGGAGAAUGGAAUUCCUGGUGGAGCGGUGGAAUGCGCAGAUAUCAGGAGGAACACCAGUGGCGAAGGCGGUUCUCUGGGCCUUUCCUGACGCUGAGGAGCGAAAGCGUGGGGAGCGAACAGGCUUAGAUACCCUGGUAGUCCACGCUGUAAACGGUGGGUACUAGGUGUGGGGUCCAUUCCACGGGUUCCGUGCCGUAGCUAACGCUUUAAGUACCCCGCCUGGGGAGUACGGCCGCAAGGCUAAAACUCAAAGGAAUUGACGGGGCCCCGCACAAGCGGCGGAGCAUGCGGAUUAAUUCGAUGCAACGCGUAGAACCUUACCUGGGUUUGACAUGGAUCGGGAGUGCUCAGAGAUGGGUGUGCCUCUUUUGGGGUCGGUUCACAGGUGGUGCAUGGCUGUCGUCAGCUCGUGUCGUGAGAUGUUGGGUUAAGUCCCGCAACGAGCGCAACCCUUGUUCACUGUUGCCAGCACGUUAUGGUGGGGACUCAGUGGAGACCGCCGGGGUCAACUCGGAGGAAGGUGGGGAUGACGUCAAGUCAUCAUGCCCCUUAUGUCCAGGGCUUCACGCAUGCUACAAUGGCUGGUACAGAGAGUGGCGAGCCUGUGAGGGUGAGCGAAUCUCGGAAAGCCGGUCUCAGUUCGGAUUGGGGUCUGCAACUCGACCUCAUGAAGUCGGAGUCGCUAGUAAUCGCAGAUCAGCAACGCUGCGGUGAAUACGUUCCCGGGGCUUGUACACACCGCCCGUCAAGUCAUGAAAGUUGGUAACACCCGAAGCCGGUGGCCUAACCGUUGUGGGGGAGCCGUCGAAGGUGGGACUGGUGAUUAGGACUAAGUCGUAACAAGGUAACC